rnacentral:rRNA from 1 species
GACGAACGCUGGCGGCGUGCUUAACACGUGCAAGUCGAACGGAAAGGCCCUGCUUUUGUGGGGUGCUCGAGUGGCGAACGGGUGAGUAACGCGUGAGUAACCUGCCCUUGACUUUGGGAUAACUUCAGGAAACUGGGGCUAAUACCGGAUAGGAGCUCCUGCUGCAUGGUGGGGGUUGGAAAGUUUCGGCGGUUGGGGAUGGACUCGCGGCUUAUCAGCUUGUUGGUGGGGUAGUGGCUUACCAAGGCUUUGACGGGUAGCCGGCCUGAGAGGGUGACCGGCCACAUUGGGACUGAGAUACGGCCCAGACUCCUACGGGAGGCAGCAGUGGGGAAUAUUGCACAAUGGGCGGAAGCCUGAUGCAGCAACGCCGCGUGCGGGAUGACGGCCUUCGGGUUGUAAACCGCUUUCGCCUGUGACGAAGCGUGAGUGACGGUAAUGGGUAAAGAAGCACCGGCUAACUACGUG